UACGUAGGGGGCAAGCGUUGUCCGGAAUCAUUGGGCGUAAAGAGCGCGUAGGCGGCCCUGUAAGUCCGCUGUGAAAGUCAAGGGCUCAACCCUUGAAUGCCGGUGGAUACUGCAGGGCUAGAGUCCGGAAGAGGCGAGUGGAAUUCCUGGUGUAGCGGUGAAAUGCGCAGAUAUCAGGAGGAACACCGGUGGCGAAGGCGGAUCUCUGGGCCUUACCUGACGCUCAGGCGCGAAAGCGUGGGGAGCGAACAGG
rnacentral:rRNA from 1 species